UGCCGGGCGGGGGGAGCUCGCCGAGCAGCCCCGAUGCUCCCCCCGCGGCACGGCAAGCUCCUUGUGGUAAAGUGACAAGCUCUAUGUCCAGCGUCGGCUGCCCCCAGUCCCUCACUCUCCGUUGGUUCUUGCGCCAGGUUGCUGUCCCUGCGUGUGCAUAAUCACAGAAUCAGUUUGGCUGGAAAAUCAUCUGAGAUGAUUGAGUCCAACCUAUGACCGAACACCAGAAUGUCGACUAAACCGCAGGACUAAGUACUAGGUCCAGUAUUUCCUUAAACACCUCGGGAAGGGUGACUCCACCAAAUCCCUGGGCAGCCCAUUCCAAUGUCUAACCACCUUUUUUCUGUGAAGAAAUUCCUCCUAAUGUCCAACCUAAAGCUCUCCUGCUGCAGCUUAAGACGAUGUGCGCUUGUACUGUCACGGGUUACCUGCGAGGAGAGGCUCCUUUCAGACCCAUCACCUUCUUGUUGCCCUUCUCUGGACCUGCUCCAGCAUCUCAGUGUCCUUCCUGAACUGAGGAGCCAAAACUGGGGAGAGCAGAGUAGGCUUUCCAGGUGCCACAGCCACAGCGCCGGAGCAAAAACACCAACAGGGCCUGGCUGGCAAGGAGAUCAGCUCCAUGGGAGUCCCUAUCCAGCCCAUGUGCAGAGCUGGAAGCAUCUGCCAGAGCAGAAAGAAGGACUGAAGUGUCAACAU